rnacentral:tRNA from 2 species
GGGGGCGUGGUCUAGUGGUCUAGGAUGCCUGCCUGUCACGCAGGAGGUCGCGAGUUCGAGUCUCGUCGCCCCCGCCA